rnacentral:tRNA from 1 species
GGUGAGUUUCCCGAGCGGUCAAAGGGGACAGACUGUAAAUCUGUUGACUUCGGUCUUCGGAGGUUCGAAUCCUCCACUCACCAC